rnacentral:lncRNA from 1 species
CUCUACCAUUUCAUUAUUUUUCAUGAAAUAAAUAAAUCAUUUUUUUUAUAUAAAAUACAUGGAGAAUAGGUCCCUUUCAAAGGAUUUUUACAGUAAAAUAGACUUUCAUAAAAAAAACUUUUUUUUCUCAAUUUUAAGGGGAUUGAAUGGGGGGUGCAGACUAUACACGGCCGAUUAUGGUAGUGUGUUUAAGUUUCAUUAUGUUUGGUUGAGGCAAAAGUUAGGAAACCGAAUUGAAACUUUAACCUUAAACUAUAUCUUAAAGGUUUAUACAAAAAUAACAAAAUUAAGCCCAUUUAUCAGGAAAAAAUGAAAAAAUGAACAAAAAAAUCCCAAUUUUACUUCACAUAGUUCCUCUAAAUAUUAAAAAUUCUUCUCCCAAAGAAUGAACAAAUCAUCCUGGUUAUAUAAAACAUAGUAAAAAAUUAACAGACAACAUUUAAAUAUUUUCUAAAAAAAACAAACAUUAUAUAGCAACAAUGUGCUUUAUACAACCAAAA